rnacentral:pre_miRNA from 1 species
AUUUAAGUAUAAGUAUGUCCCAUGCAAUAUUUGGGACAUGUUUAUACUAAAG